rnacentral:snRNA from 1 species
AGAUGUGAGGGUGAUCUGGCUGCAACGUCUGUCACCCCAUUGAUCGCCAGGGUCGAUUUGACUGAUCUGUCUGGCUAGGCGGGUGUCCCCGUCCUCCCUCACCGCUCCAUGUGCAUCCUUCCCAAAGCUGCACGCUCGGUCGAAGAGGAUGACCUUCCCCACUAGAGGAGGACCAGUCUUCGCUCAAGGGUGUACAAGUGGCUGCGCUCCCCUGCUAGAACCUCCAAACAAGCUCUCAAGGGCCAGACCAAAGCCAGGAACUAGGAGUUUCUCCCAGGUCUCCCACAUGGAUGCAGGGACCCAAGCACUUGGGCCAUCUUCCACAGCU